rnacentral:rRNA from 1 species
UCCAGACUCCUACGGGAGGCAGCAGUAGGGAAUUUUGCGCAAUGGGGGAAACCCUGACGCAGCAACGCCGCGUGAUUGAUGAAGCCCUUCGGGGUGUAAAGAUCUGUCAGUGGGGACGAAACUUGACGGUACCCACAGAGGAAGCAUCGGCUAACUCCGUGCCAGCAGCCGCGGUAAUACGUAGGGGGCAAGCGUUAUCCGGAUUUACUGGGUGUAAAGGGAGCGUAGACGGCAAUACAAGUCGGAAGUGAAAUACCCGGGCUUAACCUGGGAACUGCUUUGGAAACUGUAUGGCUGGAGUGCUGGAGAGGUAAGCGGAAUUCCUAGUGUAGCGGUGAAAUGCGUAGAUAUUAGGAGGAACACCAGUGGCGAAGGCGGCUUACUGGACAGUAACUGACGUUGAGGCUCGAAAGCGUGGGGAGCAAACAGGAUUAGAUACCCGAGUA